rnacentral:tRNA from 1 species
GCCCCCAUCGUCUAGCGGCCAAGGACACCGCCCUUUCACGGCGAAGGCACCGGUUCAAAUCCGGUUGGGGGUACCA